AGCAGUGGGGAAUAUUGGACAAUGGGCGCAAGCCUGAUCCAGCAAUGCCGCGUGGAUGAAGAAGGUUUUCGGAUUGUAAAGUCCUUUCGACGGGGACGAUGAUGACGGUACCCGUAGAAGAAGCCCCGGCUAACUUCGUGCCAGCAGCCGCGGUAAUACGAAGGGGGCUAGCGUUGCUCGGAAUGACUGGGCGUAAAGGGCGCGUAGGCGGAAUGCUUUGUCGGGCGUGAAAUUCCAGGGCUUAACCUUGGGACUGCGUUCGAGACGGGUAUUCUAGAGUGGAGAAGAGGGUCGUGGAAUUCCCAGUGUAGAGGUGAAAUUCGUAGAUAUUGGGAAGAACACCGGUGGCGAAAGCGGCGACCUGGUCUUUUACUGACGCUGAGG
rnacentral:rRNA from 1 species